rnacentral:rRNA from 1 species
UGGGGAAUAUUGCGCAAUGGGGGAAACCCUGACGCAGCGACGCCGCGUGCGGGAUGAAGGCCUUCGGGUUGUAAACCGCUUUUGAUUGGGAGCAAGCUUUCGGGUGAGUGUACCUUUCGAAUAAGCGCCGGCUAACUACGUGCCAGCAGCCGCGGUAAUACGUAGGUGGCAAGCGUUGUCCGGAUUUAUUGGGCGUAAAGCGAGCGCAGGCGGUCAAUUAAGUCUGAUGUGAAAGCCCCCGGCUCAACCGGGGAGGGUCAUUGGAAACUGGUUGACUUGAGUGCAGAAGAGGAGAGUGGAAUUCCAUGUGUAGCGGUGAAAUGCGUAGAUAUAUGGAGGAACACCAGUGGCGAAGGCGACUCUCUGGUCUGUAACUGACGCUGAGGCUCGAAAGCGUGGGUAGCAAACAGG